UGAGCUCAGGCAAGAACACCC
rnacentral:rRNA from 9 species